UAACAAUGAUUCCCUCAGUAACGGCGAGUGAACAGGGAAAAGCUCACAGUUGGAACCUAGCUGCCUUAGGUAGUUCGGAUUGUAAACUGAAAAAGUGUUAUCCAGGCUAGCCGAGUAAAAAAGUUUCUUGGAAUAGAACAUCAUGGAGGGUGAGAAUCCCGUCUUUGGCUUGAGCAUAGUCUUUUGUGUUGCACUUUAACGAGUCAGGUUGUUUGGGAAUGCAGCCUAAAGUGGGAGGUAAAUCCCUCCUAAAGCUAAAUAUUGGCGAGAGACCGAUAGCAAACAAGUACCGUGAGGGAAAGAUGAAAAGAACUUUGAAAAGAGAGUUAAACAGUAUGUGAAAUUGCUAAAAGGGAAGCGUUUGAAGACAGACUAGCUUGGUUAUAAUCAGCCUGGUUUUUUUACUUGGUGUACUUGUGACCUAUGCUUGCCAACAGCAGUUUGGCCUGACUGAAAAAACUGAUAGUAAGGUAGCUCCCUUCGGGGAGUGUUAUAGACUGUUAGAAAAUAAGUUGGACUGGACUGAGGAAUGCAAUGCAGCUUGCCUUAGGGUGAACCAGAUUGAAUGGGAACCAUUGUUCCCUGAAGGUUUGGGUAGCUUUUUGAACUGUAUUUAGGUUGUUGGCUUAAUGUCUUUAAACGGC
rnacentral:rRNA from 1 species